rnacentral:rRNA from 1 species
AGUGAACGCUGGCGGUAGGCCUAACACAUGCAAGCCGAACGGCAGCACAGUAAGAGCUUGCUCUUACGGGUGGCGAGUGGCGGACGGGUGAGGAAUACAUCGGAAUCUACUUUUUCGUGGGGGAUAACGUAGGGAAACUUACGCUAAUACCGCAUACGACCUACGGGUGAAAGCAGGGGAUCUUCGGACCUUGUGCGAUUGAAUGAGCCGAUGUCGGAUUAGCUAGUUGGCGGGGUAAAGGCCCACCAAGGCGACGAUCCGUAGCUGGUCUGAGAGGAUGAUCAGCCACACUGGAACUGAGACACGGUCCAGACUCCUACGGGAGGCAGCAGUGGGGAAUAUUGGACAAUGGGCGCAAGCCUGAUCCAGCCAUACCGCGUGGGUGAAGAAGGCCUUCGGGUUGUAAAGCCCUUUUGUUGGGAAAGAAAAGCAGCAGGUUAAUACCCCGCUGUUCUGACGGUACCCAAAGAAUGAGCACCGGCUAACUUCGUG